rnacentral:rRNA from 1 species
UGCCAGCAGCCGCGGUAAUACGAAGGGACCUAGCGUAGUUCGGAAUUACUGGGCUUAAAGAGCUCGUAGGUGGUUAAAAAAGUUGGUGGUGAAAUCCCGGAGCUCAACUCCGGAACUGCCAUCAAAACUGAUUGACUUGAGAUUGGUAGAGGAAAAUGGAAUUCCUAGUGUAGAGGUGAAAUUCGUAGAUAUUGGGAAGAACAUCGGUGGCGAAGGCGAUUUUCUGGGCCAAAUCUGACGCUGAGGUUCGAAAGCGUGGGUAGCAAACAGGAUUAGAUA